rnacentral:tRNA from 1 species
AGGGGUAUAGUUCAACGGUAGAACAGCGGUCUUCAAAACCGCGUGUUGUGGGUUCGAAUCCUGCUACCCCUGCCA